rnacentral:lncRNA from 1 species
AUCAGCUUGUUAUUCUGUCUUUGGAACUGCAGGACUAGUGGCCGCUUGGGACCAUCUGACUUCUUAGUAAUAAAUCAGGUUGCAACUGAGCCUGAUUAGGAGCUUGAAUUUGAAGCUGUCCUUGGAACACUCUGAGAUUUGAUCAAGGAAGUUCUUCUGGCCAUCUGGACCAAUCGGGGAUGUCUCCUGCAUUGCCAGUUUCAGAAGCUUUUAAAAUAACCUGCUGCAUGACGUGAUUGGGCUGCAUUGAGCAUCUGUCUCUGCAGAUUUCCUGAGCGAGAUGUCCCAAAGCCUUCUGUGAAAAUACCUGUGCACUCAGGUAAACAUCCGUCUGCAGGGGUCUGUGUGGAUGCAUCAGCCGUUGUCAAGCGACGCACAGUGGGAGGGUAAUUGGGAGAGAGGCAUGGCAGUUAGCCUGACAUGUUCAAACAUACCCUAACCACUAUUUUUAUGGUUUCCCGUUACCAUGUCACCAAGCCCUCCGCAACAGAAAACUUACCACUGGCUGCACUUCUGCCCCUGACUCCUGGUCCUGGUUCUGAGAAAGGGAACACUUUAAGACCUGAACCCUAUGCCUGCCGCUUGCUGGCAAUCCAGGCCACUCAAGUGCAGAGGAAAGUGGAAGGGACCCAGGCAUGUCAUCAUCUGGUUCUGAAGAACAGGAGAGACAAGGGACCUCCUCCUCCACACAAGGUAUGUUAAGCCCUGGGGAAUGAUCAAUCACCUGGCACCUAAAGUGACAGCUUCAAUUAAAG